rnacentral:rRNA from 1 species
UUAAAUCCCUUAUCGAGGAUCCAUUGGARGGCAAUUCUGGUGCCAGCAGCCGCGGUAAUUCCAGCUCCAAUAGCGUAUAUUAAAGUUGUUGCAGUUAAAACGCUCGUAGUCGGAUUUCGAAGCACGCUCACGGGGGCGGUUUUUGCUGUUUCUGUGAGGGUGUCUUCUUUUUCUGGGACGCGUUGUGCGGGACUUGAUUGUCUCUGCAACAUCUGCGGGCCGGACGUUUACUGUGAARAAAUUAGGGUGUUCAAAGCAGGCGUUUGCUAUGAAUACGUGAGCAUGGAAUAAUAGAAUAGGACUUGACCUCUAUUUUGUUGGUUUCCGGAGAACAAGUAAUGAUUAAUAGGGACAGUUGGGGGCAUUCGUAUUUCAUUGUCAGAGGUGAAAUUCUUGGAUUGAUGGAAGACGAACAAUCUGCCAAGGAUGUUUUCAUUGAUCAAGAACGAAAGUUAGGGGAUCGAAGACGAUCAGAUACCGUCGUAUCUUAA